CAUCGCUGCACCCUGGCAGGCCAGCCCCGCGCCCAUCCACACGCCUGGGAAACCCCAGCCACACGCCUCCACCCGCUCCCAUCUCAGCAGCACACUGUGACCCAAACACGGGCUGUGGGUUCAGAGACCUGGGUUCCGGAAGUCUAAGCUCAGCUGCUGACUGCCCUGUGACCAACGGGUCAGCCCCCACCCUGCACUUCUGUCCACACAUCGUGGCGACCUGCUGGUCACCGGCCACGCCUGGCACACAGGAUGUGCUCAGUAAAGCCUGGGCUCGUGAGUGCCACGCACAAGUUCAACAGAGGAAGCUGCAGAGCAACGGCUACGCAGGCCAGGACGGGAGGCCCGGGGAGGCCAAGGGCAUGCUGAGGCCAGGACGGGAGGCCAAGGGCAUGCUGAGGCCAGGACGGGAGGCCCGGGGAGGCCAAGGGCGUGCUGAGGCCAGGACGGGAGGCCCGGGGAGGCCAAGGGCGUGCUGAGGCCAGG
rnacentral:lncRNA from 10 species